rnacentral:lncRNA from 1 species
GAGUGGCCAGUUGCCCGCCGCUGAGAAUGAAGCUCAGAGCAUCUGGGCUUAAGCCGGUUCAGCUCAGAGGUGGGUUUUGGAAGUCUGUGGCGGACCACCGCAGCAAGUCAUCACUCAGCGUACAAGCCUUUCCAUUUCAGAAAAUAUAAAGAACUUAAGCAUGCGGCGUUCGGAGUAUAGAUUGCUUUGAGGUAUUUCAAAGCAGCGCUGAUCAUGGGCAGAGGAGCCGAUAUGUGCAACAGAAACUACUCACUGGAACUCUUCUGGUAAAGAAGCCAGAAUUAUAAAAUGAAAAAAAGCAUCUUCAACAGAUGGUGCUGGCCUAACUGGAUGUCUGCAUGUACAAGAAUGCAAAUAGAGCCAUACCCAUCACCCUGCAUAAAACUGGGAGUCCAAGUGGAUUAAAGACCUCAACAUAAAACCAGAUAC